rnacentral:rRNA from 1 species
CGAGCGAACAGAUAAGGAGCUUGCUCCUUUGACGUUAGCGGCGGACGGGUGAGUAACACGUGGGUAACCUACCUAUAAGACUGGAAUAACUCCGGGAAACCGGGGCUAAUGCCGGAUAACAUAUAGAACCGCAUGGUUCUAUAGUGAAAGAUGGUUUUGCUAUCACUUAUAGAUGGACCCGCGCCGUAUUAGCUAGUUGGUAAGGUAAUGGCUUACCAAGGCGACGAUACGUAGCCGACCUGAGAGGGUGAUCGGCCACACUGGAACUGAGACACGGUCCAGACUCCUACGGGAGGCAGCAGUAGGGAAUCUUCCGCAAUGGGCGAAAGCCUGACGGAGCAACGCCGCGUGAGUGAUGAAGGGUUUCGGCUCGUAAAACUCUGUUAUUAGGGAAGAACAUAUGUGUAAGUAACUGUGCACAUCUUGACGGUACCUAAUCAGAAAGCCACGGCUAACUACGUGCCAGCAGCCGCGGUAAUACGUAGGUGGCAAGCGUUAUCCGGAAUUAUUGGGCGUAAAGCGCGCGUAGGCGGUUUCUUAAGUCUGAUGUGAAAGCCCACGGCUCAACCGUGGACGGUCAUUGGAAACUGGGAAACUUGAGUGCAGAAGAGGAAAGUGGAAUUCCAUGUGUAGCGGUGAAAUGCGCAGAGAUAUGGAGGAACACCAGUGGCGAAGGCGACUUUCUGGUCUGUAACUGACGCUGAUGUGCGA